AGUGAACGCUGGCGGCGUGCCUAAUACAUGCAAGUCGAACGGAGUGGCGCACGGGCGAGUAAUGUAUAGAUAAUCUGCCCUCCACUAGAGGACAACAGUUGGAAACGACUGCUGAUACUCCAUAGUGGAGGAUGAGGCUAUAUUGUAUCAGCUAGUUGGUGAGGUAAUGGCUGACCAAGGCGAUGACGCAUAACUGGUCUGAGAGGAUGAUCAGUCACACGGGAACUGAGACACGGUCGAGACGCCUACGGGAGUGGGCAGAAGGGAAUAUUGCCCAAGGGGGGAGACCAUGAAGCAGCAACGCCGCGUGGAGGAUGACACUUUGCGGAGCGUAAACUCCGUUUGUUAGGGAUGCGUUACCUAACGAAGAAGCACCGGCUAACUCCGUGCCAGCAGCCGCGGUAAUUC
rnacentral:rRNA from 1 species